rnacentral:rRNA from 1 species
CCUACGGGAGGCUGCAGUGGGGAAUAUUGCACAAUGGGGGAAACCCUGAUGCAGCGACGCCGCGUGAGUGAAGAAGUAAUUCGUUACGUAAAGCUCUAUCAGCAGGGAAGAAAUACUGACCUUAUGGUCAGCAGACGGUACCUGAGUCAGAAGCCCCGGCUAACUACGUGCCAGCAGCCGCGGUCAUACGUAGGGGGCAAGCGUUAUCCGGAUUUACUGGGUGUAAAGGGAGCGUAGACGGUGCGCCAAGUCUGGAGUGAAAUGCCGCAGCUUAACUGCGGAACUGCUUGGGACACUGGCGAAGUAGAGUGCGGGAGGGGUAAGCGGAAUUCCUAGUGUAGCGGUGAAAUGCGUAGAUAUUAGGAGGAACACCGGUGGCGAAGGCGGCUUACUGGACCGUAACUGACGUUGAGGCUCGAAAGCGUGGGGAGCAAACAGGAUUAGAUACCCUUGUAGUC